GUUCUGGAGGAGGUCGAGAAGUUGCUGCUCAUCUGGUUAGAAGAGAAGCAGCGUGCAAGGGACACAGUGACUGAGGCCGUCAUUUGUGAGAAGGCCAAGGCCUUGCACGCAGACCUCGUCCGGGAACAGCCAGGAACCUCAGGCAAGCCAGAAGUCUUCAAGGCAAGCAGAGGUUGGUUUGACCGGUUCAAGACAAGAUCUGGAAUCCACAGCGUGGUCAGGCAUGGAGAGGCUGCCAGUUCUGAUGCUGCGCAGGAGCAGGCCUCGCUGGAAGAGGAGGAAGCAACUGAGGAAUGGCUGUCCUCCAAAGAACUGAGGGACAUUUGCCAGAAGUGGAAGGAUGUGCAGGCUUUUGCACAGCGGCACCACCCUAACAAGCAUGUGAUACAUGACCUUGUGAACACUUUUGAUACGACGGUCAUGUCGCCUUUCAGGGAGGUGCUGAAAAGGCGGAUGAAGCAGCAGACCAUGGACAGGUUCUUCAGCAAGAAGCAAAGAGUGGAAGAGGAACCUUCUUCGAGUGGUCCCCCAGAGUCUUAGAAAAUGUACGGUACACUUUGUUGAUUUUUAAAUGUUUUUCUGUCAUGUUUAGAAACUUAAUUUAUUGUUCCUUCAAUUUUUGAACUGCUCUUUACAGUAUGUGUGACUUUAAAGAGCAGUUAAUAAACUUGUUGUACCAAA